rnacentral:lncRNA from 1 species
CCUUAUCUUGCCACCUUUUAUGACUACAAUUCUAUAUAGGUAAACUCUUUCCACACCUAUGAUACCAAAUGCUUAACUCACCUCCAAAAUCAGCUCGAGUCGAUUCAACAACAACCCCAUCUAGUGUCUAUAUUGUACAAUGAUAUAUAACCUGCAGAAAGCAUCAAUAUGAAUUAAAUCGCUUUCAUUUCUCCAAAGAUGAAGUUUCACGAGCUACUAUCACAACACUGUCAACCUAAUCACCCUCCGUCGGUGUCUUUUCACCAGCUCCAGGCCUUAUCAACGCCUUCAGCUUAUCCUAAAAACCAUUGAUCAAGUUUUCAGAAGAAUCGCCUUCGAAGAUCAAGUAAACUGCCCAUUUCCUAUCAUCUACAGAAUAGAUAAACACAAACAUAUAUGUUAUCAGCUAGUUUCACGUAUCAAAUUAAAUUAAAAUACACUAACAGCACCCAUCAUGUUCCAAAAAAUUUCACGGAUCAAAAUCAAUUAAAAUUGUAGGUCAAUAACCGAAACUCAAUCGAAACCAGUGACAUUUUACACAGCACAAAAACAAAUUAGAACUGGUUGAGCAGCAAAAGCGGAAACCCUAACCUUAAUUAAUUUCGCAAAAUAAAUGGAAAUAUUUGGAAAUUGGGUUCUAAUUGCAGCGGAAAUUGGGUCUUCGAAACUACUGCUGCUACAGAGUCUGUGGACGGAGACGCCGAGGCUGAAGGAGGUGGUGCGACGGAGAGCAGGUGGCGCAGCGGGGACUAGGCAACGCGUCUAGGGUUAGCAGACGACAGGCGAGAUGGAAACCGCGGCGCCUAGGGUUAGCGACGAGGACAGGGGCUGCGAGAAGGGGAAGUGCGGAGCCUAGGGUUAGUGAUGUAGACAGGGGCGGCGAGAUGGGGUGGCGCAGCGUCACAGGCGGUGCGGGUCGCGGUGGCGAGAUGGGGGCAGGCUGCGAGAUGGGGGCAGGCUUCACUGCAGUUAGGGAAGAAGAGAGGGGGUAGCAAUUUGGGGGUUAGGGCCUUAGUGAUUUCAAUUUAUGGUUUUUUUUUCUUCAGAUUUGCAGUUUUUUUAAAUGAAAUAUUAUACUAAUAAUGUUUACUUAAAAUCAUUUGAAAUGAUAAUUUAAAAUUAUUUCAUUUUCAGUUCAUUUUUAAUAAUUAAAUUAACUCUAAUUUAUUUAAAUAUGAAUUUAUAAAUAAACUUUUUUAUUUUUAAAUAAACAGUUUUUGUUAAAAAAUAUAAUAUGGUUUUAAAAAAAUAAAUUGAUAAAAAAAUUGAAAAAAGGAAUUUAAUAAUUAAAUUAACUCUAA